AACGAACGCUGGCGGCAUGCCUAACACGUGCAAGUCGAACGAGACCUUCGGGUCUAGUGGCGCACGGGUGCGUAACGCGUGGGAACCUGCCCUUAGGUUCGGAAUAACUCCCCGAAAGGGGUGCUAAUACCGGAUAAUGUCUUCGGACCAAAGAUUUAUCGCCUUUGGAUGGGCCCGGGUGGGUUUAGCGGGUUGGUAGGGUAAAAGCCUACCAAGGCGACGAUCAAUAGCUGGUCGGAGAGGAUGAUCAGCCACACUGGGACUGAGACACGGCCCAGACUCCUACGGGAGGCAGCAGUGGGGAAUAUUGGACAAUGGGCGAAAGCCUGAUCCAGCAAGGCCGCGUGAGUGAUGAAGGCCUUAGGGUUGUAAAGCUCUUUUACCCGGGAUGAUAAUGACAGUACCGGGAGAAUAAGCUCCGGCUAACUCCGU
rnacentral:rRNA from 1 species